rnacentral:rRNA from 1 species
GGAAGUCAGAACCAGCCAUGCCGUGUGAAGGAUGACGGCCCUAUGGGUUGUAAACUUCUUUUAUAGAGGAAGAAACUUGUUUACGUGUAGACAACUGACGGUACUCUACGAAUAAGGAUCGGCUAACUCCGUGCCAGCAGCCGCGGUAAUACGGAGGAUCCAAGCGUUAUCCGGAUUCAUUGGGUUUAAAGGGUCCGUAGGCGGAUUUUUAAGUCAGUGGUGAAAGCCGACAGCUCAACUGUCGAACUGCCAUUGAUACUGGAAAUCUUGAGUACAAAUGAAGUAGGCGGAAUGAGUCAUGUAGCGGUGAAAUGCAUAGAUAUGACUCAGAACACCGAUUGCGAAGGCAGCUUACUAACAUGUAACUGACGCUGAGGGACGAAAGCGUGGGGAGCGAACAGGAUUAGAUACCCUGGUAGUCCACGCCCGUAAACGAUCAUCACUCGCUGUUGGCGAUAUACUGUCAGCGGCCAAGCGAAAGUAUUAAGUGAUGCACCUGGGGAGUACGCCGGCAACGGUGAAACUCAAAGGAAUUGACGGGGGCCGCACAAGCGGUGGAACAUGUGGUUUAAUUCGAUGAUACGCGAGGAACCCUUACCAAGGCUUAAAUGUAGUAUGACCCGGCUUGGCAA